rnacentral:lncRNA from 1 species
AACAAAAGAAUAAAUAAAAAAUAAAAGAGGGUUGGCAAUCAGGGUGAAAUAGAGAGGACGUGUGGGAACAUCUUUUCGCCCUUUUUGCUCUUCUGAAAAUGUCGACGGAAAGAAGUGUUCCAUUGCCGAAAUUCGGAGAAUGGGACGUAAAUAAUCCGGGGGCAGCCACAGAAUUUUCUGUUAUCUUUGACAAGGCUAGGAAUUUGAAAAGAGCAGGAAAUCGAAAGGAAGAACAACCCCGAUUGCUGGACGACACGACUGCGGCGACGGCCUCGUUAAUAAAGCACAAGAAGCCUUCUUCAACCAAAAGAUGGCUAUGCUGCACCAAUCCCACGUAUGCAGAAUCUUGAUGAUCAAGGAGGAAUUGUAUUUUAUUUUAAUAGGUUAAGAAUUAAUCUGGAGGUAGUCUAGGUAGAGAUUUGUUUCGAACAAGUCUCAUCUAGGUUGGUUUUAGAUUUUUCUUUUUUUGCACAAAAUUUGGUGCAUUCAGUUUAAUUACUUAAUUGUGUAAAGUGAAUGUGAACGCAUAACGAUUGGUGUUUUAGGUCAUUGUAACAUCUUUUACUUGGCUAAUCCCUCCCUUCUCAAUUAAAUAAUUAAUUAAUUUUAUUUGGUUAAAGUUAAUUCUUUCUGUUGAUUGCAAUUUUUAUUUUUAUUUUUUUUGGUGUUUUGUUUAUUUUUUCUGGUUGUUUUAUUUUCUUUUUGUUUUUUAAGUUAAACAUUGAGAGAAAAUCCAGGCUAUAGAAAAGGUUAGGAGUAGGCUUACGGCUUUCUUCAAACGUUGGGGAUGAAUGCAUACGUGGUAAGAUUGUCCACUCAAAUCACGACACUUUAAUAUAGAGUAGAUAAGAGAGAGAAAUAAAAUGCAUGUGCGGACUUUCUCAUUGAAGUAAUUCUUCGAGAUAUUGUGAUUUGAGUGAUUUGAGUUUCAAGGUGUCGUGAUUUGAGUAGAUAAUCCUACUAUAUAUACAUAUAUGACCGACUUAUUGAAUUACUUAUCCUCAAGUAUAUAUACUUGCUACACAAAUGGUUGAAUCAUGUGUACUAUAUUCAAUCACGUGUAUGAAAGACUUUUGCACAGAUAGUAGUUAUAGCUUAGUGAGGUUGAAUGAGUUGUGUGUCAAAUUUUAAACAUUUAUCUUUGUAAAAUUUGUGUCAAUGUCAGUACACAACAUAAUGCAUUAGAGAUUCUUUUAAACAAUCAGAUUUGGUAUGUAACGAAUAGUGGGGCGGAUUGCAUGUUAUAUAUAUCACAAAUGAACGUAAUUUCAAGUAGUUUAAUCAACUUUUAAUUAUCCAAGCCUCAAAAUUUUCAACAUGCAGAAAUUAACUUGCAGUGACAUAAUUAUCAUAGAGAAACACUGGAACACGGUGUCUGUGAAGGGAAACAUCCAUGAACCUCGGGAACUGCAAGAACAAAAAAAUUACAAUGAUUUUGUCUGAAGUUACAAAAUUAGAAUGGAACCGUCGAAUAUGUUUGAAACUCUCGAAAUGAUCUUCUAGUUCAAGAUAGAAUUUGCAAAACUUCGUUUCCAUUGAGUCGCGAAUAUUAUUUUGUAAUACUCGACGAGGGUAGUUCCUAAAAUAUCUAUUUAUUUUAUUAAUUCUAAAAUGUUAUUUUAUUCGUUUUCACCACAAUUUAAUUAAAAUCUCAUCCAAAUAAAUCACCCCUUCAAGCCCCACCCAUUUGAAUAGCUUGUUACUCACAAAUUUCCCAAUCUGCCAUUCUAUGGACAACUGGGGGCCAAUCGAACGGCAGAACCACCUUUGUCAACGAGCUUGAAGUUGGCAGAUAGCAUAGCCAAAUUCCUAGCUCUGUGGUGAAGUUUCAGGGAAGAAAGCGAAAAGACAGGAUUCAAUAUCAACUCAGUGUGGACAACUAGAAACCAUAAGACGACCCUAGGGUCCAAUGGGUAUUAAAAAAUUAAUAUAAAUAGCAAAAAAAUGGUAUAUAAUGCAUCCAAAUGUACAAGUCCCUAAUAUUUUGCACCUUAAUAGCAUUUUUUGUUGAUACUUUUAUAAAAACUUUAAACUUUAUAUAAUUAGAAACUUUAAAACUUGAAAAUCCAAAUUUCUUUACUCCCAAAAUUCUCCAUAUCAAAUCAUCAAAAAAAUUAAUAAUGCAGAACAUACCUUAAUUUAUUGGAAUUGAUUCUUUAUUAAUGAAUCUUGAUUCUGGAAACUUGAACUACAAUCUUUUCAUCUUUGACUUAUUCACUUUUAAUCUUGAAUUUUGCCUUCUUUGAUUCUUGUUAUUGGUUUUGCUUUUUGAUCCAUAUUCUUGAUUCUUAAUUAUGAGGUAUUAGAUCUUCCUCUUCAAUAUGUUUUACUUGUAUUGUGUUGGUGGGAUGUCACUAUAAUCCGGCUCACACUUUAUUUAUAUGCCCUAAGUUUAUCAAUUCAAUUCUUUAUUAUAUUACUUUAAUUUUUAGAUUAACUUUAAGAUAAUCUUAUACAUAAUUAAUUACAUAUUAGGGAGAAGAACAACCCCGAUUGCUGGACGACACAACGGCGGCGACGGCCUCGUUAAUAAAACACAAGAAGCCUUCUUCAACUAAAAGAUGGCUAUGCUGCACCAAUCCCACGUAUGCAGAAUCUUGAUGAUCAAGGAGGAAUUGUAUUUUAUUUUAAUAGGUUAAGAAUUAAUCUGGA